GGCUGGGGGAGGUGAGGCAAGUUGAAUGGAAUCAACGGCGAUCCCAUUGCAUGGAGAUGGGGGCUUUAGAUCUGCUCUGCCUUUACCAGCAGCGCCCAGACAGUGAUACCUUUGUGCCUCAGGGUUCCCACCUGUGAAAUGGAUAGAUGUCUGUCUUGAAUGAUGUAGGUCCAUUUGGAGGCACGUGAGAAGCUGCGAGUGCCUGCAAAAACCUUCUCAACCCAAGAUUCUACCCAGGAAAGGCCAUGGCUUGAGAAUGUCUAAGAAGUGGUGAGAAACAGCUCCUGGAAAGAAGGUCCCCCUGAGAAUGUGCUCAAGGUACUCCCUUCCCCUCCCCCAGGUGGCCAGGCUGGCCACAAGGCCGCCCUAGACCUUGCUCCUUGGUCUCUCCUUCCUGUAGCCCAUGAUGGUGAUGACUCAGAAAGCAGGCGCUCAGAACACUCAUAAAGGCCGAUGUGCAGCUUCCUAGACCCAGGCAGGAGGUGAGCCUCAUGGCCUCCUCCUCCCGCCUGCCCCGUGAACUCUUAAACCUGGAGAUGUGCUGAGCCAGGAGCCAAUGGAAUGAACAUGGUUUCCACCGAGUAAAAUUAUCAGCGUGUUAACAGCUGCCCCCCAAACAGCUGGGGAUGCAUUCCCGCCCUGCACAUGCAGACAGCAGCAACAUUUGCUCAACCUGGGAGCUUCAGAGACAGGCAUGAAACUAAAUCUUCCAAAUCCAUUGAGGUGAGCCCAGAUGCACCAACCCAGAGGAUCCAAGGGCUCAGCCUUUUCCAGGCCAUUCCCGGGGCCCUCUGCUCACUCCCCUCCUUCCUCCAUCUCCUUCCUCCCCAUUCUUCAUGCCUCCCUCUCACCCUGCCCUGUGUGUCUGUGUCUUAUGAAUGCCUACGCAUCUGAUGCUCCCUAGGAAGCCCCUCACCAUGCAUACUCCUCCUCAGUGCCCCCUGCCCUAAGCAUCAGGCUUUCUUGACCGUCUAACACUGCACCUGUGCAAGUCCCACCCUGGCCUCUCUGGGGACAGUGAUGUUCUUUCCUUGCCCCCUGAGCCCCAUCAGUACUCGGGAGCUGGCACACAGGGAGUGCCCUCAAAUGGCUGUGGGACAAGUGAGAGGAAGGUGCUGUGACAGCUUGUUUUCAGCCAGUGGACCCACUGAAAUGGAUGGACAGGCUCAAGGGUCCUGAGAGUUGGGUCCCCAGGCCAGUGGAACCAGCGUCACCUGGAACUGAUGUUGCUAUUAACCCCAUUCUACAGAUGAGAGAGUGAGGCACAGAGAAGGGGAGUACUACAACCAAGAUUACACAGCAGGUGGGGAGACCGAGGCAGAGAUCAUGAGUGAAUCGCCCAAGUUCAUAGAGCUCACCACCGUGCCCCAUCAGGUCUGUCUGACCCCAAGCAUGUGGCCUUCCUGCACGUGGUCUGCCUCUCCUUUAGAGCAGAGGGGGACAAAUCCAGGGUGCACUAUUCUGGAGAGACCUUGCUUUGUCCAGUACCUCUGAUGGGAGUGAGGCUUGGUCGGAAUGAGAAGGAAAAAUAUUCUGCCUCCAGGCAUGGCCUCUGUCUAAGCCUGUGCUCUCUGCCCCAGCUGUACCUGUCUGAACAAGGGACUUUGAAGAUGUAUUUAAGAUGAGGUCAUAUUGGAUCACCAUGGACCCUAAAUCCAAUGACUGAAGAGGCAAGGACACAUGUGGAUGGGAGAAGGCCAUGUGAAGUGGAGGCAGAGAUUUGAGUGAUGCAUCUAUAAGCCAAGAAACACCAAGGACUGCCAGCAACCACCAGAAGCUGGAAGAGGCAAGGAAGGAUUCUACCCUACAGAUUUCAGAGGGAGUAUGGCCCUGCCAACACCUUGAUUUUGGACAUCUAGUCUCCAGAACUAUGAGGUAAUAUAUUUCUAUCAUUUUAAGCCAUCCAGUUUGUAGUACUUUAUGGUGGCCACAUUAAUCUAAUGCAGACAGCCUGAAGUCCUCAGGUCACUUAUGAUCUGAGGCCCCUAAUAAAGAUUCCAGAAUAUAAAUAACUUUCAUUCAUUCAUUCAUUCAUCACUCAGAUAUUUCUCCUGUGCCUGCUAUUUGUGGGUCUUUGUUCUAGUAGCUGGGGACAUGGGACAAAACCCACUGCCCUCCUGGAG
rnacentral:lncRNA from 1 species